GAUGAACGCUGGCGGCGUGCUUAACACAUGCAAGUCGAACGAAGAUGCCGGAGUGCUUGCACUUUGGCAGACUGAGUGGCGGACGGGUGGGUAACGCGUGGGUAACCUGCCUUAUACAGGGGGAUAACAGUUGGAAACGACUGCUAAUACCGCAUAAGCGCACGGUAUCGCAUGAUACAGUGUGAAAAACUCCGGUGGUAUAAGAUGGACCCGCGUCUGAUUAGCUGGUUGGUGAGGUAACGGCCCACCAAGGCGACGAUCAGUAGCCGACCUGAGAGGGUGACCGGCCACAUUGGGACUGAGACACGGCCCAAACUCCUACGGGAGGCAGCAGUGGGGAAUAUUGCACAAUGGGGGAAACCCUGAUGCAGCGACGCCGCGUGAGCGAAGAAGUAUUUCGGUAUGUAAAGCUCUAUCAGCAGGGAAGAAAAAAAUAGACGGUACCUGACUAAGAAGCACCGGCUAAACACGUG
rnacentral:rRNA from 1 species